rnacentral:rRNA from 1 species
CGCUGGCGGCAGGCCUAACACAUGCAAGUCGAACGGUAACAGGAAGCAGCUUGCUGCUUUGCUGACGAGUGGCGGACGGGUGAGUAAUGUCUGGGAAACUGCCUGAUGGAGGGGGAUAACUACUGGAAACGGUAGCUAAUACCGCAUAACGUCGCAAGACCAAAGAGGGGGACCUUAGGGCCUCUUGCCAUCGGAUGUGCCCAGAUGGGAUUAGCUAGUAGGUGGGGUAACGGCUCACCUAGGCGACGAUCCCUAGCUGGUCUGAGAGGAUGACCAGCCACACUGGAACUGAGACACGGUCCAGACUCCUACGGGAGGCAGCAGUGGGGAAUAUUGCACAAUGGGCGCAAGCCUGAUGCAGCCAUGCCGCGUGUAUGAAGAAGGCCUUCGGGUUGUAAAGUACUUUCAGCGGGGAGGAAGGGAGUAAAGUUAAUACCUUUGCUCAUUGACGUUACCCGCAGAAGAAGCACCGGCUAACUCCGUGCCAGCAGCCGCGGUAAUACGGAGGGUGCAAGCGUUAAUCGGAAUUACUGGGCGUAAAGCGCACGCAGGCGGUUUGUUAAGUCAGAUGUGAAAUCCCCGGGCUCAACCUGGGAACUGCAUCUGAUACUGGCAAGCUUGAGUCUCGUAGAGGGGGGUAGAAUUCCACGUGUAGCGGUGAAAUGCGUAAAGAUCUGGAGGAAUACCGGUGGCGAAGGCGGCCCCCCUGGACGAAGACUGACGCUCAGGUGCGAAAGCGUGGGGAGCAAACAGGAUUAGAUACCCUGGUAGUCCACGCCGUAAACGAUGUCGACUUGGAGGUUGUGCCCUUGAGGCGUGGCUUCCGGAGCUAACGCGUUAAGUCGACCGCCUGGGGAGUACGGCCGCAAGGUUAAAACUCAAAUGAAUUGACGGGGGCCCGCACAAGCGGUGGAGCAUGUGGUUUAAUUCGAUGCAACGCGAAGAACCUUACCUGGUCUUGACAUCCACGGAAGUUUUCAGAGAUGAGAAUGUGCCUUCGGGAACCGUGAGACAGGUGCUGCAUGGCUGUCGUCAGCUCGUGUUGUGAAAUGUUGGGUUAAGUCCCGCAACGAGCGCAACCCUUAUCCUUUGUUGCCAGCGGUCCGGCCGGGAACUCAAAGGAGACUGCCAGUGAUAAACUGGAGGAAGGUGGGGAUGACGUCAAGUCAUCAUGGCCCUUACGACCAGGGCUACACACGUGCUACAAUGGCGCAUACAAAGAGAAGCGACCUCGCGAGAGCAAGCGGACCUCAUAAAGUGCGUCGUAGUCCGGAUUGGAGUCUGCAACUCGACUCCAUGAAGUCGGAAUCGCUAGUAAUCGUGGAUCAGAAUGCCACGGUGAAUACGUUCCCGGGCCUUGUACACACCGCCCGUCACACCAUGGGAGUGGGUUGCAAAAGAAGUAGGUAGCUUAACCUUCGGGAGGGCGCUUACCAC